CCACGUUUACGGCUCGGCUCAUCGCGAGUAAAAAUGCAACGGCGCCAACGGGUUCUCUGCGGAUGAAAACCCAUCAUAGAAUAUCGAAAACUUGGGGGAAAACGUACUUCCUGUUUUUCGUACCCGCCAAAAAUUCCCGGGCUUAGAGUUUUGUUCGCGUCCGAUUCUUUUAGGGCUGUGUAAUUUAAGUAAAAGUGGAUCCUGUUUCAGCUAAAUUGAAACUAAUUUUGCUUCUUGCAUUACGAAGAAAAAGAAAUAGAAGAUGGUGGGUUCGACCAUAUUUGAGAGACGACUGCAACAAGGAUAUGCAAAUAAUUUAAUUGAAGAUAUGAGACUGAAUGAUAUUGAAAGUCUUUUAAUUAUUUUCGCAUGUCGCCUGGUCAGUUGGAGGAAUUGUUAGCACUAAUUGGACCAUCUAUACAGAAGAAAAAUACUAAUUAUCGUUAAAGUAUUCCAGAAAAAGAUCGUUUGGCUGUAACAUUAAGAUUUCUUGCCAGUGGAGAUAUAAUGACAAGCUUGUCAUUUGCAUUUCAAAUGGGAAAGUCCACAGUCUCCCUCAUAAUAAGAGACACUUGUGCAGCUUUGUGCAAUGUAUUACAGUUUUGGAAGUUCUAAGUGAAGAAAAGUGGCUGUGGAUUGCCUAGGAAUAUGAAGCUUUGUGGCAGUUCCCUCAGUGCCUUGGAUCCAUUGAUGGAAAGCAUGUCAUCAUUCAGGCUCCACCAUGGUCUGGAUCUUCCUACUAUAAUUACAAAGGUUCAUUCAGUAUAGUUUUGAUGGCCAUAGCUGAUGCGAAAUAUAAAUUCAUAAUUGUUGACAUCGGAGCUGAGUGAUGGAGGAAUUUUGUCAAUUCCACCUUCGGUAAAGCUGUUCAUGAAGAAGCACUGAACUCACCUAAAAGUUCUCCAGCUCAUGGAUCACAAUAUUUAUUGCCAUACACUUUUAUUGGGGAUGAAGCUUUUCCCUUUAAAAGAAAUUUAAUGCGACCAUAUUCUGGUCAAGAACUAAAUACAGAAAAGUAUACUAUCGAGAGCACGAAGAUGCGUUGAGAACGCAUUUGGAAUCAUGGCUGCCAGAUUCCGAAUUCUGCGCAAAACAAUUGUGGCUGGUCUUAUUGUGAAGGCCUCUGUCUGCUUGCACAAUUAUUUAUAAUGUAAAGAGGAACAGAUGCCAGCAAAAGAACGACAAUAUUGCCCUGGUUUCACAGAUACGGAUGAUGGCAGUGGCAGUAUUCUAAAAGGCCGAUGGAGAGACGAGAACAUACAGAAUUUAAGCAAAGUGUCUCGUUCUGCCUCAAAUAUGUACAGCAGGAAUGCAGCUGCUGUUCGUAUUGCAUACACCAGUUACUUUACAAGAGAAGGGGCAGUACCAUGGCAGUAUGCUACAGUUUCAAAAAAAUAAAAUUUACAAAUAUUAUGCACACUUUUACUAGGUUUCAAGCUUCCUUUCUUAUUUAUAUGUAUAUUGCCAUAUAAUUUAUGUAAAUUUUCUUUUAUUUAUCUAAUUAUAUUUUAUUUUGUCUGUAUAUGUGUAAAAAAUGAAUAUUUUUCAACAUCAGAGAAUGCAUACUAAAAAUUUACUUUAGAAUGGCAUAUAUGAGGGAGAAAAUGACUGAUGAAAUCAAAAAAGUAUAGCUAUAUGAUAUAAUUAAUCUGUGUAGAUAAGAAGGAAACAGUUAGCCUUAAUAAUAUGCACAAUUCACAUCACACUAAUUGUCUAAGUUACCAAAGUAAACUCAAGUGCGUUUAUAUAAGACCUUCCUAGUAUUUGUUAUUAAAAAAAAU